AUUGAACGCUGGCGGCAGGCCUAACACAUGCAAGUCGAACGAGUGGCGGACGGGUGAGUAAUGUCUGGGAAACUGCCUGAUGGAGGGGGCUAACUACUGGAAAAGGUAGCUAAUACCGCAUACCAUCAGAUGUGCCCAGAUGGGAGUAGCUAUGUGGUGGGGUAAAGGCUCACCAAGGCGACGCUCCCGAGCUGGUCUGAGAGGAAGACCAGCCACACUGGAACUGAGACACGGCCCAGACUCCUACGGGAGGCAGCAGUGGGGAAUAGUGCACAAUGGGCGCAAGCCUGAUGCAGCCAUGCCGCGUGUGUGAAGAAGGCCUUCGGGUUGUAAAGUACUUUCAGCGGGGAGGCGUUACCCGCAGAAGAAGCACCGGCUAACUCCGUGCCAGCAGCCGCGGUAAUAC
rnacentral:rRNA from 1 species